CCUACGGGAGGCAGCAGUGGGGGAUAUUGCACAAUGGGCGGAAGCCUGAUGCAGCGACGCCGCGUGAGCGAUGGAGUACUUCGGUAUGUAAAGCUCUGUCAGCAGGGAAGAAAAUGACGGUACUUGACCAAGAUGCGCCGGCUAAAUACGUGCCAGCAGCCGCGGUAAUACGGAGGGGGCAAGCGUUAUCCGGAUUUACUGGGUGUAAAGGGAGCGUAGGCGGGAGGGCAAGGCUGAUGUGAAAGCCCGGGGCUCAACCCCGGGACUGCAUUGGAAACUGGCGUGCUAGAGUGCCGGAGGGGCAGGCGGAAUUCCUAGUGUAGCGGUGAAAUGCGUAGAUAUUAGGAGGAACACCAGUGGCGAAGGCGGCCUGCUGGACGGUAACUGACGCUGAGGCACGAAAGCGUGGGGAGCAAACAGGAUUAGAUACCCGUGUAGUC
rnacentral:rRNA from 1 species